rnacentral:rRNA from 1 species
GUGCCAGCCGCCGCGGUAAGACGAACCGUGCGAACGUUGUUCGGAAUCACUGGGCUUAAAGGGCGCGUAGGCGGGCCGAAAAGUCAGGGGUGAAAUCCUCCAGCUUAACUGGAGAACUGCCUUUGAUACUGGCGGUCUGGAGUAAGGUAGGGGCAUGCGGAACUGAUGGUGGAGCGGUGAAAUGUGUUGAUAUCAUCAGGAACUCCGGUGGCGAAAGCGGCGUGCUGGACCUUUACUGACGCUGAGGCGCGAAAGCCAGGGGAGCAAACGGGAUUAGAUACCCCAGUAGUCC